GCCCCAGUAGCGCAGUCGGUUAGCGCGUCAGUCUCAUAAUCUGAAGGCCGUGAGUUCGAGUCUCACCUGGGGCA